rnacentral:tRNA from 1 species
GGCGACGUAGCCAAGUGGCAAGGCAGAGGUCUGCAAAACCUUCAUCACCGGUUCAAAUCCGGUCGUCGCCU